rnacentral:sRNA from 1 species
UUUGAUAUAAACAGGGGAACCUGCUCCAUCAGGCUGUCAAUUAGCCAUUAAGCAUGUUUGUCCCUACGCAUCUGACCAACAGAAUUGAGACAUUGUGAUCACAAGACUGAUGGAGCCAGACCAAGCUCAAAGGACUAAUACUGGACCCUGUAAUGUUCCAUGGCCAGGCUUACUCUGCAGAUAUCAUCAGGAUUCCAGCAAUGGAUAUCAUGUCCAGCAUUAACCCAUUCCAAGACUCCACAGCAAUAGAUAAUAAUAACCCGGCCAUUAUCAGACUCCACAGUUCUGAACAAUUUUACCUAACAAUACAUCAACCAUUCUCUCCCUCUGAAACUAAUGAAAAUUGGACCAUAUGAGGAUGUGUGUUGGAAAAAAGCAGAGCCUUAAAAAUUGUAUAGAGAAGCUCUCCAAGGUUACCAAACUCCUCACAAUAAAUCUUAUAAUUGACAGCACACUAAGCAUACCUGUAUGCAAAGGUGUAUAAUCAACUAAAAUAUCAUGAUACAAAUUGAAAAGAUUGAAAAGAGGAGAAGAUAUCAAUUCUUUUACCAUGUAAAGAUAACCACAGGAAAAAUUUACUUUGCAAUACAAGUCUAAUGGCUUUAUGAAAAGAAUACUUUGUAUGUUGGAAUAUGAAUAAAUGUUGAUGGUUAGGUAU